rnacentral:rRNA from 1 species
CGUCGGAAUCUGGGAGGACCAUCUCCUAAGGCUAAAUACUCUCUAGUGACCGAUAGUGAACCAGUACCGUGAGGGAAAGGUGAAAAGCACCCCGGAAGGGGAGUGAAAUAGAACCUGAAACCGUGUGCUUACAAGUAGUCAGAGCCCGUUAAUGGGUGAUGGCGUGCCUUUUGUAGAAUGAACCGGCGAGUUACGAUUUGAUGCAAGGUUAAGCAGUAAAUGUGGAGCCGUAGCGAAAGCGAGUCUGAAUAGGGCGUUUAGUAUUUGGUCGUAGACCCGAAACCAGGUGAUCUACCCUUGGUCAGGUUGAAGUUCAGGUAACACUGAAUGGAGGACCGAACCGACUUACGUUGAAAAGUGAGCGGAUGAACUGAGGGUAGCGGAGAAAUUCCAAUCGAACCUGGAGAUAGCUGGUUCUCUCCGAAAUAGCUUUAGGGCUAGCCUCAAGUGAUGAUUAUUGGAGGUAGAGCACUGUUUGGACGAGGGGCCCCUCUCGGGUUACCGAAUUCAGACAAACUCCGAAUGCCAAUUAAUUUAACUUGGGAGUCAGAACAUGGGUGAUAAGGUCCGUGUUCGAAAGGGAAACAGCCCAGACCACCAGCUAAGGUCCCAAAAUAUAUGUUAAGUGGAAAAGGAUGUGGCGUUGCCCAGACAACUAGGAUGUUGGCUUAGAAGCAGCCAUCAUUUAAAGAGUGCGUAAUAGCUCACUAGUCGAGUGACACUGCGCCGAAAAUGUACCGGGGCUAAACAUAUUACCGAAGCUGUGGAUUGUCCUUUGGACAAUGGUAGGAGAGCGUUCUAAGGGCGUUGAAGCAUGAUCGUAAGGACAUGUGGAGCGCUUAGAAGUGAGAAUGCCGGUGUGAGUAGCGAAAGACGGGUGAGAAUCCCGUCCACCGAUUGACUAAGGUUUCCAGAGGAAGGCUCGUCCGCUCUGGGUUAGUCGGGUCCUAAGCUGAGGCCGACAGGCGUAGGCGAUGGAUAACAGGUUGAUAUUCCUGUACCACCUAUAAUCGUUUUAAUCGAUGGGGGGACGCAGUAGGAUAGGCGAAGCGUGCGAUUGGAUUGCACGUCUAAGCAGUAAGGCUGAGUAUUAGGCAAAUCCGGUACUCGUUAAGGCUGAGCUGUGAUGGGGAGAAGACAUUGAGUCUUCGAGUCGUUGAUUUCACACUGCCGAGAAAAGCCUCUAGAUAGAAAAUAGGUGCCCGUACCGCAAACCGACACAGGUAGUCAAGAUGAGAAUUCUAAGGUGAGCGAGCGAACUCUCGUUAAGGAACUCGGCAAAAUGACCCCGUAACUUCGGGAGAAGGGGUGCUCUUUAGGGUUAACGCCCAGAAGAGCCGCAGUGAAUAGGCCCAAGCGACUGUUUAUCAAAAACACAGGUCUCUGCUAAACCGUAAGGUGAUGUAUAGGGGCUGACGCCUGCCCGGUGCUGGAAGGUUAAGAGGAGUGGUUAGCUUCUGCGAAGCUACGAAUCGAAGCCCCAGUAAACGGCGGCCGUAACUAUAACGGUCCUAAGGUAGCGAAAUUCCUUGUCGGGUAAGUUCCGACCCGCACGAAAGGCGUAACGAUUUGGGCACUGUCUCAACGAGAGACUCGGUGAAAUCAUAGUACCUGUGAAGAUGCAGGUUACCCGCGACAGGACGGAAAGACCCCGUGGAGCUUUACUGUAGCCUGAUAUUGAAAUUCGGCACAGCUUGUACAGGAUAGGUAGGAGCCUUUGAAACGUGAGCGCUAGCUUACGUGGAGGCGCUGGUGGGAUACUACCCUAGCUGUGUUGGCUUUCUAACCCGCACCACUUAUCGUGGUGGGAGACAGUGUCAGGCGGGCAGUUUGACUGGGGCGGUCGCCUCCUAAAAGGUAACGGAGGCGCUCAAAGGUUCCCUCAGAAUGGUUGGAAAUCAUUCAUAGAGUGUAAAGGCAUAAGGGAGCUUGACUGCGAGACCUACAAGUCGAGCAGGGUCGAAAGACGGACUUAGUGAUCCGGUGGUUCCGCAUGGAAGGGCCAUCGCUCAACGGAUAAAAGCUACCCCGGGGAUAACAGGCUUAUCUCCCCCAAGAGUUCACAUCGACGGGGAGGUUUGGCACCUCGAUGUCGGCUCAUCGCAUCCUGGGGCUGUAGUCGGUCCCAAGGGUUGGGCUGUUCGCCCAUUAAAGCGGUACGCGAGCUGGGUUCAGAACGUCGUGAGACAGUUCGGUCCCUAUCCGUCGUGGGCGUAGGAAAUUUGAGAGGAGCUGUCCUUAGUACGAGAGGACCGGGAUGGACAUACCUCUGGUGUACCAGUUGUCGUGCCAACGGCAUAGCUGGGUAGCUAUGUGUGGACGGGAUAAGUGCUGAAAGCAUCUAAGCAUGAAGCCCCCCUCAAGAUGAGAUUUCCCAACUUCGGUUAU